CUCCUCUGCUUCCUCUGCUUCCCAGGGGUCAGAGAAACCCUAACCCCACUGCCACGCCCACCGCCUCAUUCUUGCCUCCUGGAGGGCUCUGCACCUCCUGGGUCCCAGCUUCUGGCCCCGCCCCUCACAUCGCUUGGCCCCACCCCCUGGCCGCCAGCGAAGAUUACACUCCCCCAGGCCCAACCUGGGCGGCCUGCACCCAGGGACGGUCCCUAGCCACUGGCCUCCGCAUCCCACCCAGUCCCGCCCCGCCCCCGGCCUCGCUUCACAGGGGAUGCACGGAGUGGCCAUUUUGCAGCUAGCGACCCCUUCUGGAGACCUGAGCACUCUUCCUUCCUUCCUCGGCCUAGGCUGUGGCUGGUCUGGGAGUUGGGUCUGCGCCAGGUACCGGGGAUCAAAGUUACAACCUAGCACUUUCCAGACAGGCGUUUCUGCCUGCCCAGCUAAAUCCCUGGCCUGUAUUAAUGAAUAUUUUUAAAUGUAUAAACAUCACUUUAUUCAUUCAAAUAGUAUUGUGAUUUAAGCAAAGGAUGUCAAUGAAGACAGAAAUUGAUAUACAAUCGGAGAGGAAAUGCAACCUCAAAGAGUCAAUGCAAAAAACUAAAUACAACAAUCACUGCUACAGGCACAGCUGAAGAAAGCCAGGCAUGAAGGAGAAGAUGCAGUGACCAUGUCUACAUGCUCCUGAAGAGAAAAACAACAGCUUGAAAUGUACUACAGUUACCACCACUUCCUCCAGGAAGUCCUGAUACUCAUCAAUUACCAUACUCAAUGACAAGAACAACUGGACUAUUGUUCCCACAAAAUGCCUUGGCUCUUUCCACAUACAUUUUCUGGCUGACUUGUUCCCCUGCUGCAUAAUAUUAGUUAAGCAGCUUUAAGCUUAUAUUUUGAUUGUAGUUUGAGACACACACUGUACCAACAUUGUAACUUUCCUGUAUAAAUGACCCCUGACAAUAUGUCUGUGGACAAACACUGAAGACCACUCCUGAAAAUUCAGGGGUAUACUUUUCUCUUUUUUCCUAAGAAAAUUUUUGAACUUUUUCUGGUUUGUGACUUCCUUUCUCAAUGUUGUAAGCCAUUAAACUUGGUGCAUUUGACAUUAAACAGGGCAGGAUUAUAUUUCUCUUAUUUCAAUUUGAAUAUGAAAUGUCUGCUAAAGGCCAUGUUCCAAAGCCUGGAUUUCAAGCUGCUUGUUUGCCAUGGGUUUAACAUUUCCAUUAGCUUUUAGAAGUCCUCAGUCUAGUGAACUGCAAAUGUAUUGGAGGAAGGAGGUCACUGUUGUACUGUAGCACAAUAGGUGCCAUUCCUAAGUCUGUGUUGGUCACAGCCUCCUGGAUGUCACUACAUGGAUUUCAUUCCUCUGCUCCAUCAUUCAAUAAUUUCCAUUUUAGAGAAGUCAACUUUCACACAGCUCUAUUAUUGUUUUUUUUUUUUUUUGAAUAGUCUUUCUCUCUCCUUGGUUGUUUAUUUUUUUCAUUUAAUUUUUUUAUUUAAAUACAUAGUCUCACUUUGGAGCUCUGGUCAGCCUUGCACUCUCUUGGAGGUUAGGCUGUCCUUGAGUAUAUGUCCAUUCUCUUGUUAUUGGAUAUUCACAUUGCACUGGGGAAAUCCGCACAACAUUGAGAAUACACUAAAUGCCAGCAAGCUGAUUACUUUAAACUUCAUUAAAAUGUUAAAUUUUAUUUAGUUUGUUCUGGCACUAACAAAUCUCUGAGAAAUAAGACUAGUGAUGAAUACAAUGAUAAAUAAAACUGGAAGAGAGUGGAAUGGCAGGUGUGGGUCAAGAGCUGCCCACAGGUAGAACUCAAGAGAUGACUCCUGCUGUGGAGCACCCAGGAGGUCCAGCUCUGCAGCUGAUGGACAAGGGAAUCCAAGUGCUGGCUCUUGCUGUGGGGCCAGAGCUUGUGAGGGAGCUGGCAGGUGGAGCUGGCACAAGGUCAGGAGGUGCAACUUAUGCAUGGACUGAAACUGGCCCUGUAAUUUCAGGAAGAGAAAAUAUCACCAACUGUUCAUGGAUUUCUUGGGCAAAACCUUCCCACUGCCUGUCAGAGGCAGCUGUGUGCACCAGCUCAGCCCCAGCAAAGCCUCCCAGACUACAUCCCUACACUGACUGCUGAGGAUCUCAUGCUCUUGGGUCACACAGCAUUUGGGCACUUUGCUGAGUUCCAAGGCAUAUCCACUGCCCACAAGCCCAUAAACUCUGGAGCUCAGGCCUGGGAGGUUCAGGAUGCUCUAGCUGUUCCUGAAGAAGCUUAGCCUGGGGAUCUACAUGGAAGUACAGUUCCAAUGAAGAGUCAAGCACUGAAGAUGUGGACCUGGGGCAGAAGGGAGCUGGCUGAGUGAGAGGCCUGAUAUUCCUGGGCAAGUCAUCUGUGGGGGGGGGGUGUAGGCCUUCUACCCAGGCUGUCCAGCAUCCAGCCACAGCCUCUUCCAUUCUCAUUUUGGGGCAUUUUGGGCCAAGGAGCCCUUAGAGGCUGAAAGAAGUCUCUGUGAGAGGGAGACCUUGCAUAGAUAUAUCACACUUUUGCUUGCUGACACAUUGUCUCCUUGCCCUUCCCCAGUGCAGUCAGCUUGGUGAAGGCAGUGACUGCUAUAUGCCAUGUCAUGGCACUCAAUGCAUCAGGGAUGCUGCUCCAUGAAUAUCUGAGAAGUGAGAGGUCAGUUGGUAUCUGUCUUACCUCUCUGCAGACUCUAGCUUAGGCAGUGAUCCAUUGCUAUACCCAAUUAUGCAUGUUCUGUACCCACACCUAGGGAGGCCUGGGGUCCGGAAAAAUUACUUUUAGGUGAGCAAUGUCUGUUCUGCUGCAAAUAGUGACUCUGUGGCCUCCAAAGAACAUUGUAACUCCAAAGGGCAGGAGUUGCAUCUGCUCUGCUUACAAGGUCACGACCAAUACCCAGAAAUGUGUCUGCACACAGUGUGUCUUCAUGUGUAUUUGUAGCAUAAUUAAACCUAUUUGCUCUUCCAUGAUAUCUGACAGUCAUGGAUUUGUGCUGUACUCAAGGUAUCCUGUGUUGAACAAACCCUGAGGCCCAUAUAGUGACUCUUCAAUCUCCUUUCCAAAGAAGAGAAAGCUUCUGCCAAGUGUUGGUCAGUAAAGGGGAUGGAAGAUCAUUCAUGGGAAUCAGCACAGGCUCUACUGUAGGUCUUCAUGGGGCCAAGGCCACAGCUAACCUCUUUGCAUGGAGCCCCCAUUUCAUCUUCAGUGACCCUGAGUUCUCAAUCCACUCAGCACCUCAUCAUUCAGCAUUUUAAACUGAGAUUGAGUGAUGAACUUGCACAUGGCCAGGACCUGAGUCUGCAGGUGGCCAAGUCUCACUGGGCUGCUAAGUUAAGAACUCACCUUCACAGCUUUGGUGGCUGCAGGACUGAAAUGUCAGCCAUGGAGGAAGCCAGAGAGGAAUGGCCGGAGCUGGGGCAGCUGUCCAGGAAGGCUAAGUCUGGAGUCUCCUUCAGGCUGUGAGGUCCAUCUGCCUGCACCUGGCUUGCUGUACAGACAUCUGAAGGCUCUCUACUGGCUGACUUCUGAUCUGUGAUGAGACAGUGGGGAGACAUGGAAUUGGUGUCAUGCACAUGACUUCUCAGAAGGGUUGGAGCUGAAGCAAAGCCCACACUCCAAAUGGUCCACAGAGGCUUGUGCUACAGGGCUCACUAAGGAAUUCUACCAUGCUCACAUCACUUCAAUAUAGGAGACGCAGAAUAGAAGUAUAUGCAUUAAUAAAACCUAUGAGUCUUAAGACGGCCUCCAAUUUUAGAGAUGAGAAAAUGGAGGAUCAUUCUAGAUGUCCAGAUCCAUUAAUGAGGCCCCACAGAAUGUUCCCCAGUUUCCUGAUAGAAUAUCCACAGGAAGGAAUUAAGCUACUCUUACAUAGCCAUGGAAGGUGAGCAGCUGUGUUCACUGCUCUUUUCUUGUGCUCAUUUAGCCCGGAGGCUCCUAUGAUAGGAACUGCAGUGCCUGAAAAAUUCCUGUAAGACAAGUGCCAGAGAAAUGGACAGAGUGGACUGACAUUUGAGGUCAACUCAGCAAAGGCAAAGACUGAUAUCUGCCAUGUUUUUGUACUCAAGGACUCACGGCUGGUGCUCCAUGAAUAUCUGAGAAGUGAGGGGUCAUCAGUGUCUGUACUGCUUUUCUGCAGUGUCUAGGUCAGUCAAACAUGCCUUGCCUAGUUCUCUUUGCCUCUGUACAACUCCUCCUGCAUGGUCUGUACCCACAUCUAGGGAGGCCUGGGACCCAAAAAACUACUUUGAGGUGAACAAUGUCUGUUCUACUGCCAUGCUGACUUUGUGAUCUCCAAAGAACAUCAAAACUCAAAAGGGCAGUGUUUGUACCUGUUCUGCUUACAGAACCAUGGACAAUACCUGAAAAACUGUGUUCACACAGGGUGUAUUCAUGUGUAUUUGUGGCUUGAUGACAUCGACCUACUUUCCAAUGAUACCUGUGGGCCAUGGACACUUUGCCAUCCCCAAGAAUUCCUGUCCUGAGCACACCCCGAUCUCCAAUCUCCUUUCCAAUGAAUAGGACAGCUUUCUGCAAGUGUGGGUCAGUGUGAAGGGGGUGAAAGAUCAUCCCUGGGAAUCAGCAUAGCCUCUGGGCUUCAUGGGGUUAAGGCCACAGCUGUCCCCUUGCCAAGGAGCUCCCAUUUCCUCCUCAGUUACCCUUCACUCUGCAUCCACUCAGCACCCCUCUUUCAAUGUUGUAAACUGAGGCUCAGCUGCUUGCUCAUGGCCACGACUUGAAUGCACAGGUGGCCAAGUUCCAAAGGACUGCUCAGGUAAGAACUUACCUUCCCAGUAUCUGAACUUUUCCUGGACUCAGUGUCUGUGAGUGGCUGGUGAUUGAGCCUAGGGAUAACUGUCCUGGGCUACCUCUUAUCUCUGGGAGCCUCUGGCAUGGGGCUGGUGAGUCCAGGCCUGAGCUGCCCAUGAUGGUUGGGUGUUUCCAGGUUAGCUUUCUGAAGCAUCUGGGACAAGUGCACCAUCUUCUCAUACGUUCAUAAGUCAUGUCCAAAUUUUCCUUAUGGCUCCAUACAAUUGCUUCCUUCUAUCCUAAGCAAUGCACCUGCUUUUUGUCUCUGGGAAUCACUUUGUAUUUUCUAGAGGUGACAGGUCUGUGACCACCCACUAUAUAGAGUGUUUUUGUUUUUGUUUGGGGGGGGCUAAUAGAGUUUUUUCAAUCCUCAUAACCACGUGAGGUUUCCCAUGUGCUGAUCUCUCUCAGUGGCCGAGCCAUCACAUCCCACUGUGUGAAUGAACCACAAAUCCUCAUGCAUCCAUCAGCUGAGGCCUUGUGUAUUGUUUCCAGUUUUAGUCUUAAAAAUAAGUUUGCUGCAGUCAUUCUUGUGUUUGUAUAGCUGCAGCACUCAUUUCCCUGGGGAAGAUACUUAGUGUGAAGUUGAAUAUUUCAUGCCUUAAAUGUUUAACUGUCUUUCAGAGUAGUUCUUCAAAACAGAAUUAAGAUUUCCGGCUCUUCCUGUGAGUAUUUUUAAACCCUGCUCUUAUGUUUUCCAGUAUUUUUGGGUUGAUUUUAUAAAAUUUACCUAAGGAAAGUUUAUUUCUUUUACACAAAAUUCACCAUUUUUUGACUUUGGUUAGAAUUUUAAAGGUGGAAAUAACCUCAAAAUACUGUAUAUAUGCAUAUAUGUAAAUCACAUACAAUUUUAGUAUCACAAAAGUUCUGCUAUGUGAUGAUUACUAUUCAUGGUCACCUUCAUGGGCUUGAGAGCUGUCCAAGGGAUUAGUAAAGUGUACUUCUGAGCUCAUCUGUAUGGGUCAUGGAGGAAUGAUUAUAGGUACUCCAUCUGGUCUCUGGCCCCUUCCUCCCUGGCACUGUGCCUCCACUCUGUUUCCUGGCCACCAUGAACUGUGCAGCUUUGCUCCAUCAAACCCUCUUGCUGUGGUGUCCCUGCCUUGGAACCAGGCAGGACUGACUCCCCUGAAACCAUAAGCCAGAUUAAACUUCUCCUCUUCUCAUCUGUGGGUCUUGGAUUCUGUGUCCUAUUAAUGGGAAAGCUUGACCGAGACAAUUGCUUUUAUGUUUACAUAUAUGCUUCAACCUACACAGCUUUUAUAGAAUUUACGAUAAUUUCACCCUUACUUUCUGGUCAGAUGUUGGAAUUGUUUUCAAUUUUUUUUACCCUUUUAAAUGAGAUGUUCACAAAUAUGCUGUUAAAUGCAUUCUUUCCUGAUUUAGAGAUUUUGUGACUAAUGGAACUGUAUUAUUCUAAAAUGUAAGUGUUUAUUUAUUUUUGUAAUACCAUUUAUAUAAAUACCCAGAAGAGGAAAACCUUAGAAAGCAUGGUAGUGGUCUGUGACUGAGUGUGGACAAUGGAGAAUGACAGUUUAAUGAACCUAGGUUACCACUGGUGAUGGCGGAAGUGUUCUUUAACAGGCAUGGUGAGGGUCUCACAGCCCUGAGUGCAUGAAAUGCCACUAAGCUGUGUGCUCCAGGACAGAUGCUGAAUUUUAGAUUGACUUUUACCUUAAUAAAGAAAGAACCACAGAUGAGGAGUCUCCCUACCCCUGACUACAGACCUGUAGAGUGGGAGCCCCCUGAGGACAGAACUGUUCAUGGAAACAUUUCCCAAAUGCUUCUUCUCCUCCCUCCUCUGCCCAGAAUGAAGGGCUCAGAGAUGUGUUACUGACUGUAGGUGAAAAAAACAAGUGUGCACGGUCAGGACACUGGAGGCUUCAACUGAAAUUUUGUCCUUUGAGUGAUAUAUGGGAUGUGUGUUAUGAUCAGGACCCGGGAGCACACUACUUAUCAAAAAGUCAACAGAGAGUCACAGAAAUGUCCCUGAAUCCACUCAUCUCUUCUGUCCUCUUUAUCAUAUCCUAUCUAUUGUCUAAAAUAUGUUAAAACCAGGCAGGACUGACUUCACUGAAACCAUAAGCUAGAUUAAACAUCUCCUCUUCCAAGUUGUGUGUCUUGGAUUCUGUGUUCUACUAAUGGGAAACCUUGACCAAGACAAUUGUUUUUAUGUUUACAUAGGUGCUUCAACCUACACAGAUUUUGUAGAAUUUACCAUAAUUUCACACUUACUUUAA